ensembl:snRNA U6 U6 spliceosomal RNA
AUGCUUGCUUUGUCAGCACAUAUAAUAAAAUUGGAACAAUACAGAGAUUAGCUGGGGCCCUGUGCAAGGAUGACAUGCAAAUUUGUGAAGUGUUUCAUAUUUAU